CCUACGGGCGGCAGCAGUGAGGAAUAUUGGUCAAUGGACGAGAGUCUGAACCAGCCAAGUAGCGUGAAGGAUGACUGCCCUAUGGGUUGUAAACUUCUUUUAUAUGGGAAUAAAACGUUCCACGUGUGGGAUUUUGUAUGUACCAUAUGAAUAAGGAUCGGCUAACUCCGUGCCAGCAGCCGCGGUAAUACGGAGGAUCCGAGCGUUAUCCGGAUUUAUUGGGUUUAAAGGGAGCGUAGGUGGAUUGUUAAGUCAGUUGUGAAAGUUUGCGGCUCAACCGUGAAAUUGCAGUUGAAACUGGCAGUCUUGAGUACAGUAGAGGUGUGCGGAAUUCGUGGUGUAGCGGUGAAAUGCGUAGAUAGCACGAAGAACUCCGAUUGCGAAGGCAGUUCACUGGACUGCAACUGACACUGAGGCUCGAAAGUGUGGGUAUCAAACAGGAUUAGAUACCCGAGUAGUC
rnacentral:rRNA from 1 species